AGCGAACGCUGGCGGCAGGCUUAACACAUGCAAGUCGAGCGGGCAUCCUUGUGGUGUCCGCGGCAGACGGGUGAGUAACGCGUGGGAACGUGCCCUUCGGUUCGGAAUAACUCAGGGAAACUUGAGCUAAUACCGGAUACGUGCGAGAGCAGAAAGGUUUAUCUGCCGAAGGAUCGGCCGGCGUCUGAUUAGUUAGUUGGUGAGGUUAUGGCUCCCCACGGCGACGAUUAGUAGCUGGUCUGAGAGGAUGAGCAGCCACACUGGCACUGAGACACGGCCCAGACUCCUACGGGAGGCAGCAGUGGGGAAUAUUGGACAAUGGGGGCAGCCCUGAUCCAGCCAUGCCGCGUGAGUGAUGACGGCCUUAGGGUUGUAAAGCUCUUUUCUCCGGGACGAUAAUGACGGUACCGGAGGAAUAAGCCCCGGCUAACUUCGUG
rnacentral:rRNA from 1 species